rnacentral:rRNA from 1 species
UGAAAUCUGGCUCCCAGAGCCCGAGUUGUAAUUUGUAGAGGAUGCUUUUGAUGCGGUGCCUUCCGAGUUCCCUGGAACGGGACGCCAUAGAGGGUGAGAGCCCCGUCUGGUCGGAUGCCAAAUCUCUGUAAAGCUCCUUCGACGAGUCGAGUAGUUUGGGAAUGCUGCUCAAAAUGGGAGGUAUAUGUCUUCUAAAGCUAAAUACCGGCCAGAGACCGAUAGCGCACAAGUAGAGUGAUCGAAAGAUGAAAAGCACUUUGAAAAGAGGGUUAAAAAGUACGUGAAAUUGUUGAAAGGGAAGCGCCUAUGACCAGACUUGGGCCCGGUGAAUCAUCCAGCGUUCUCGCUGGUGCACUUUGCCGGGCACAGGCCAGCAUCAGUUUGUCUUGGGGGAAAAAGGCUUUGGGAAUGUGGCUCCCUCGGGAGUGUUAUAGACCAUUGCAUAAUACCCUGGGACGGACUGAGGUUCGCGCAUCUGCAAGGAUGCUGGCGUAAUGGUCAUCAGCGACCCGUCUUGAAACACGGACCAAGGAGUCGUCUUCGUAUGCGAGUGUUCGGGUGUAAAACCCCUACGCGUAAUGAAAGUGAACGCAGGUGAGAGCUUCGGCGCAUCAUCGACCGAUCCUGAUGUUCUCGGAUGGAUUUGAGUAAGAGCAUACGGGGCCGGACCCGAAAGAAGGUGAACUAUUCCUGUAUAGGGUGAAGCCAGAGGAAACUCUGGUGGAGGCUCGCAGCGGUUCUGACGUGCGAAUCGAUCGUCAAAUAUGGGAAUGGGGGCGAAAGACUAAUCGAACCUUCUAGUAGCUGGUUUCCGUCGAAGUUUCCCUCAGGAUAGCAGUGUUGAACUCAGUUUUAUGAGGUAAAGCGAAUGAUUAGGGACUCGGGGGCGCUAUUUAGCCUUCAUCCAUUCUCAAACUUUAAAUAUGUAAGAAGCCCUUGUUGCUUAAUUGAACGUGGGCAUUCGAAUGUAUCAACACUAGUGGGGCAUUUUUUGGUAAGCAGAAAUGGCGAUGCGGGAUGAACCCAACCCCAAGGUUAAGGUGGCCGGAGUGGACGCUCAUCAAACCCCACCAAAAGGGGUUAGUACAUCUUUG